CCUGCCCAAAUGUAUUCAUGUCACCUAUGCUAUCACCUGGGUGGUGCAGUGGCAUGGAUCCUGUCCAAUAACAGUCAGCAGAGCCUGGCCCACCUGUUUAUGUGGGACACCCAAGGAUGUAGCUGUGUGGAACCUGGCUCUUGGGCUCCCCCUUGAUAUGACUCUAAAAGAGAGAGUCUGGCUUCAGCAGCACUUCACUCAGUCUUAUAACAAGGAACUAAAUUAUAGAAGCAAUGGCCCACCCACGUCACUACUAAAGCACAGGAAGCAUAUUCUGGCCCCUGUUGUGAACAGAGCUGCCGCUUUGGGCAACAAGGGGAGCGAGUCUUGCUGAGUUGAACCUUCCAUUGAUCAUCAGUGUUUAGGAGUAAUGCGACCCUGUUACUACCCAUGCGGGCAGAUGAGAGAACAGUCCUCUUAGGUAUACUUGGAGAGGGGCUAACUGUAUGUGCAGUGGGGUCUUCUGGUCAUCAGCCCAUUUUGGACUACCCCUCUGAGGAAUGCCAUUGACAGAACGCCAGUAAGCUCUUCAGCUCUAUGGACCCUGAUCUGUUUUUGUCAUGUUCAUUUGACAACAGAGUAUUCAGAGAUUAAACACACACACACAGAGACUGCAUAUUGUAGUUAGAAAAUGAUAUUUUAUUCGAAGUCAGUUGUGUUUAUUCAAACAUAACUACAGUACCAGUGAGUGGUUUUCUCAUUAAGAUAGGCCGCAUUGUUUUUUGCAACAGUGUUUUAAGAUAUUCAAAUAAAAUACAAAAACAAUGUGUAUGGUAAACUUAGCAUUUGUAUUUUAUGUGAUUUAAUACAAUCAAUUAAUAUGACAAUUAACUGGAAAUGACAGUUUGUUGUUCAGAAUGUAAAAUAGUUGAUCAUUUAUUUUUUUCCUUAUGUGUUGAUAAUAUGUCUCCAGACUGUAUCAUUUAGGGAAUGCCAUGCCUUUGUGUCAGAUGUGGGACCAACAACAUCAUCAUAAAGUAACAUACA
ensembl:lncRNA